rnacentral:rRNA from 2 species
CCACUUUGUGAUUCAUGACUGGGGUGAAGUCGUAACAAGGUAACCGUAGGGGAACCUGCGGUUGGAUCACCUCCUUACCUGAAAGAA